UCAACUUCCUUCCUCUUUCUCUCUCUCUCUCUCUCUCUCUAUUUCUACAUUAUGUCCACCACACAAGUGGCUGUAUGAGCCGCCUGAAUGUGGUGGACAUUUGUUGCAUGCACUGAUGCUAUCCAAAAUCUCAAAGUUCCUCAGUGCUAACCGUCUUCAUCAAUUACCUUCCAGGCAGGGGGCAGCAGAAGUUCGAAAGCAGAUCCAUUCUCCAGCCAUCACCAACGAUGUACCUAAAAGUACCAGUGGAAUAAACCUAGCUGUUCUGCCACCCGGAGAAUUAAUAACGCCUGUUGAAUUUGAAGAUUUUGUGCUACAGCAUCAAGAUACUAUUGACCGAGAUCCCUUCCGAGAUCUCUUACAAUUUCCUGAAGAUGACAUUGAAAUACAGCAAGUUCCCAGGAUAUGUCGAACCCUUACACCAGUUGUACCAGAUGAGCCUGGAGCAGACACUGACCCACAUGUUGUGGAUUGUGUUCGACUUUACACAUCGGAUUAUACCACAGUUGUACGCAAACAAGAGAAGUACAGUUUCAGUGUCUGUAACAAAGAGCGGCUUCCUGACAAUGAAAACAUUAUUCAACAGGAAUAUGAGAUUGAUGUGGAAGAUAGCCUGGUGGAACAGGACAAGGACAACACGCCAAAGCGUCAGUCAAUGCAGAUGAAUGAAACUCCUCGUGGUAGUUGGGCCAGCAGUAUAUUUGAUCUGAAGCAGUCCCAGGCUGAUCGUCUGGUGGAACCAAUUCUGGAACGGAUCCCUGCCGAAGAGGUUGACCGCAACAACGAGUCUCAGCGUAAACAAUGCAGACAAAACUCCCUUUUUAGUUUGUACCCAUCACAAGAUGAGGAUGAACUCACUGCUAGAAGAAUGAUCCCAGAAAUACCCCGAGAACAUUUUGGGCACAGAAUCCUAAUCAAAGUUUUCCAAAUGAAACUUGAACUUGAUAUUGAGCCUAUUUUUGUAUCUCUGGCACUUUAUGAUGCUAAAGAAAAGAAAAAGAUAUCUGAAAAUUUCUACUUUGAUAUGAACACAGAGUCCACUAACCGAAUGAUAAACAUGCAUGUACCCCACAAAGACCGAUCAACACGAAGCCAGAGUGCUAUAUUCAGUCUUACAUACCCUUCCCCUGAUGUUUUCCUUGUGGUUCGGCUUGAAAAAGUAUUACAGCAAGGCGAAAUCAAUGAAUGUGUUGAACCCUACAUGAAAGAAGAUAAAAUUAGAGAAGAGAAACAUAAAAGCAAUGCUGUACAAUUCUGCGAAAGACUUGGUAAAUACAGAAUGCCUUUCGCCUGGACCGCCAUCUAUCUCAUGAACGUCAUUAGUGGUGCUGGCAGUCUAGAGCGAGAUUCAUCAAUGUCAUCAGAAAAAUCUGAGCCAGAGAUGUCCCGAACUGCCAGCCUAGACAGAAGAAGUGCAGCACAUGCUCCACCAUAUGAAAAUUUCCGCAGACGUCCACGUGAUGACUCCCAGGUACGCAGGGGCUCUCUUGACAGAGGGCGCACUGGCUAUGAAAAGAGGCGCAGCUGGUCACCAGAUGAUUAUGGUUCCAGCCUAGAUACAUUCUCCCCUGUUACUCUAACAGUGACAAGCUUCUUUAGACAAGAAGGAGAUAAAUUGAGUGAUGACGAUUUGUAUAAAUUUUUGGUGGACAUGAAACGGCCUUCCUCAGUGUUGAAAAGACUCAAGAGCAUCUCAGGUACACUUAAAUUUGACGCUUUACCAUGUCCCGAAGAAGUUCCCUAUUCCCGAACCCCUGAACUGUAUAAAAUUUACCCUUUCCCCGAAGACAAAUUAAAAGAGAUUUGGGAAACAAAAGAGGUCCAAGAGUUUCCUUCUAAGGAGGUUUAUGUGCCAUACACAUCUUACAGGAAUUUACUUUACGUGUAUCCAAAGCACUUCAAUGGUGUCAACCGCCAAGGUUCAGCCAGAAAUAUUGCUAUCAAAGUACAAUAUAUGAUUGGGGAAGAAGAAAGCCAUGCUUUGAAUGUAAUAUUUGGUAAAUCAAGUUGUCCUGAAUUAUCCAAGGAAGCUUAUACAUCUGUGACAUACCAUAACAAAUCUCCACAGUUUUACGAAGAAAUCAAGGUCAAGCUGCCAGCAAAGGUGUCAAAAUCUCAUCAUCUUCUCUUCUCAUUUUACCAUGUGAGUUGCCAGAACAAAAAGAAUGAGCCUACCCCGGUGGAAAUUCCUAUUGGAUACACUUGGCUGCCCCUGCUUAAUGAUAAUCAACUAUCUAUUGGAGAUUUUCAGCUUCCAGUUUCAAUGGAGAAACUUCCUCCUCGAUAUUCCAUGCAUUCAGAUUCACAGAAUAUAAAGUGGAUGGAUAAUCGUAAACCAUUAUUCACAGUCAAUCUUUAUUGUGCAUCUUCAAUACACACGCAGGAUGAAAAUUUGAAUCAUUUCUUACAUUUAUGCCAUAUGGCUCAAGAACAGAAACUGAUGCCUCGGACCAAUGAAACCGGUUUUGAAAAUGAGUUGCAGCGCUCUGUCAUGGAUCUUGCCAAAGCUAAUGGUGAAAGUCUGGUGAAAUUCUUGACUCUGAUUUUAGACAAACUUAUUUUAUUGAUGGUUCGACCACCUGUUAUUUCAGACCAAACAAUAAGUGUUUGCCAGAACUGUUUUGAAACUAUAUCAGUCAUUGUUGGGCGAAUACACAAUCUUCUAGAAGACCAAAACGACCAUCAUGGGGUCAACUCCGUGUUGGCUUCAUACAUUCAUUACAGCUGUACAUUACCACAUCCUGAUAUUAAUGCAGUCUCUUGCCUGGGUAGCCCAACUGGCCAAUAUCCUACUUUGGGUCGUCCAUCAUCGCUGCCAGUUAACAAACCAGGUUAUCAACGUAGCAGCAGUGAUCCCGACCUAUCAGGCAGCACACCAACAACACCAGAUGCAGAAGUUAUUCAUAUAAUGAACUUUACCAAAGGCGGUCCUCUUGAUCGAACUGGCAGCAUGAAAGGAUCUGAGUAUGGAAUUUCAACAUUCCCUAAGAUCAGAGGUAAAAAACUUGUCCAUGAAGAACUGGCAGUGCAAUGGGUAAUGGCAAGUGGUUCUAUCAAAGAAGCAACUCUUGCGAACGCUUGGUUCUUCUUAAAUCUUAUUGUAAAAGGAAUGGCAGAACAUCUUGACAAGACUGAUAAACUCAGUAUACAUCGCAGUUUACGCUUCAGUGAUCACUUCAUAGAAGAUGUCUGCCAACUGGUGCGCAACCUUAUCAGAGAAAUUGUUUUACGUUUCAUGAAGGACCAAUCUCUCAUUCGUUCACUCAAUUCAAGUUUAGCAUUCUUCCUGUUUGAUCUGCUUUCUCUGAUGGAUCGAGGAGUGGUGUUCACCUUGAUCAAUGACUAUUGGCGAGCGAUUUCUAGCCAAAUGGCUUGUCAAGUUGAUGCAACUAUUCUAAUGAGGUUGCGUCUUGACUUUUUGCACAUCAUCUGCAGCCAUGAGCAUUAUUUCCCAUUAAAUCUGCCAUUUGGAACUCCGCUUACACCAUCAGCUCCAUGCAGUCCAUCUCCUAGCGUCACUAGUACAAACUCACAGAUGUCUUAUGCCUCAACAAACACUCUGACCGAUAAAGGAAUUUUCUUUGACCUCACAACUGAGUUUCGGCAGCAGCAUUUCCUUUCUGGGUUGGUCCUGUCUGAUUUAGCCACAGCUCUAGAAACAAACUUCACAACAAUCCACUACAAAGCCAUCAAUGUCAUACGUAACCUCCUCUACAACCAUGACCUAGACAUUCGUUAUUCAAACCCAGAAAUCAAAGCUCGCCUGGCUGCCCUCUAUCUGCCCUUAAUUGGCAUUGUCAUUGAUGGACUGCCUCAACUGUAUGACCCAAACCUGACCAGCCGUUCUCGUAACUCUUACCAAGACGAAGAAGGUGACCGAAUCAAUCAACAUGUUGCUAUGGCGAUUGCCGGUUCGAGUGUUUGUGAAAGAGUGUCGAAUAUGAAUUACAGUGUCCAGGAGACUGAAGUAAAAACCAGAAAAUGUAUGCUGAAUGCUGAUGCCACUCACAACCUCCUGAUCUGUUUUGUGUGGGUACUUAAAAAUGCAGAUUAUGCUGUUUUGAAAAGCUGGUGGUCAGAGCUACCACUUACACGCCUUAGUCGUAUUGUGGAGAUUAUUUAUUUUGUGGUUUCUAAUUUUGAAUACAAGGCAAAAUGGGUUCUGAUGAACUGUGAUAUGUUGUCUCAGUUUUCCGGUUCCGAGGAAACCCUGGAAGACUGGCAGGAUAGCCCAACACCACGGGGCUCCACUUACAAAGGCAAUGGCAUGAUCAAAUCCCAAUCAUUUCAUGAGCAAAUCUGGGAAGGCAUUCAGAGAAAGUCUCAAGAUCUGUUUCGGGGUACGGGGACAUUCCUGGGGCGUGGUGUCGGCAAAGAAGAGUCAUAUGGGCAGAUAACCCUUGACAACAUCUUACCAUUCCGCCCGCCAAGACCAACAUCUGCGACAUCUUUGAAUGUGCUCUUGGGUAAGAAAGCAAUGAGUCAGUAUUCCCAGCAGACAUUCCGGCGAAGUGUUGACAUGAAGACACGUCUUGAAGAAGCAAUUCUCGGCCAUUCAAAUGCCAGGACAGAAAUGAUGCUAAGGCGACGCCAAACAAGCUUCAGUAACUCAGGUGACCGUACACCUCCAUCAGGGGGCUCGGAAGGAAGUCGUCUUCGCUGGCGGAAGGACCAAUUCCAAUGGAAACAGCCUCAUGAGCACUAUGAAAGUCAAAAGUUCAGUCGUGAUGUGGAAGUCGAUGCCCAUGUAGAAGGCAACCUUGCUUCAGAAGUCAGCAUGGUAGCGCUUGAUACUUUGGAACUCAUCGUACAGAUUGCCCAGUCAUCGAUGGAGAUGCCUACCCUCGGUUACGCGUUGCGGGUUUUGUUACACAGUCUUGGCUUAAAUCAAAGCACUGCAGUAUUGCAACACAUGUUAGCAACACAGAGAUCACUAGUCAGCAAGUUCCCUGAACUUCUGUUCCAAGAAGAAACAGAACAGUGUGCUGAUCUCUGCCUACGUCUACUACGUCAUUGUAGUUCCUGUAUUAGCAACACACGGUCACAUGCAGCAGCUUCCCUCUAUCUACUUAUGAAACAGAACUUUGAGAUGGGCAAUAAUUUUGCACGUGUAAAAAUGCAGGUGACAAUGUCACUGAGUUCGUUAGUUGGACAAAACCAAAAAUUUAAUGAAGAAUAUUUACGAAAAUCUCUAAAGACAAUUUUGACAUACGCAGAAGCUGAUGUUGAGUUAGUAAACACCACAUUUCCUGCACAGGUACGUGACUUGGUAUUCAAUUUACACAUGAUUCUGUCUGAUACCGUGAAAAUGAAAGAAUUCAAUGAGGACCCAGAAAUGUUAAUAGAUCUAAUGUACCGUAUAGCAAAGGGCUAUCAGACAUCACCUGACCUACGGCUCACCUGGUUACAAACUAUGGGAUGCAAACACAGUGAGCGAAAGAACAAUGCAGAAGCUGCCCAUUGUCUCAUCCAUGCAGCAGGUUUGGUGGCAGAAUACCUCAAUAUGUUGGAAGACAGGCCUCACCUACCGGUGGGCUGUGUCGACUUUCAGAAAAUUUCUUCCAAUGUUCUUGAAGAAAGUGCAGUAUCUGAUGAUGUUGUUUCACCUGAAGAAGAAGGUAUUUGUACUGGCAAAUAUUUUUCAGAAAGUGGCCUUAUUGGUCUUUUGGAACAGGCCUGUGGUUCCUUUUCAAUGUGUGGCAUGUAUGAAGCUGUGAACGAAGUAUAUAAAAUUUUGAUUCCAAUACAUGAAGCAAAUAGGGAUUAUAAAAGGUUGGCACACAUCCAUAAUAAACUACAUGAAGCUUUCACAAACAUCAUAAAAAUGGAAGGAAAACGAGUUUUUGGAACUUAUUUCCGAGUUGGUUUCUAUGGUCACAAAUUUGGAGACCUUGAUGGAGAAGAAUUUAUAUACAAGGAACCAGCCAUUACGAAAUUACCAGAAAUUUCUCAUCGACUUGAAUCAUUUUAUGAAGAUCGCUUUGGUGUUGAGAAUGUUGUUAUGGUGAAAGAUUCAAACACUGUAGAACGACAAAAGCAAGAUCCCGAAAAGGCUUAUAUACAAAUCACUUACGUUGAGCCCUAUUUUGAUGCCUACGAAAUGAAGGACCGGGUGACCUAUUUUGAGAAGAACUAUAACAUAAAACAUUUUAUGUAUGCCACUCCUUUCACACAAAAUGGCCGUGCACAUGGAGAACUCCAUGAACAGUACAAGAGAAAAACUAUUCUAACAACAUCUCAUGCAUUUCCUUACGUUAAAACCCGACUGGCUGUUAUACACAGGGAACAGAUUAUACUUUCGCCUAUUGAAGUAGCAAUAGAAGACAUUCAGAAGAAGACCAAAGAAUUGGCACUUGCAUUGAGUCAGGAACCACCUGACCCCAAGAUGUUACAGAUGGUGCUACAAGGUUGCAUUGGGACAACAGUAAAUCAGGGUCCAGUAGAGAUUGCUCUUGUAUUCCUUAAAGCUGAACCAAACCAAACCCAUGGAAAACAUCAUAACAAACUUAGAUUGUGCUUUAAAGAAUUUUUGAAACGAUGUUUGGAUGCUCUACAAAGAAACAAGACACUGAUAACAGUUGAGCAAAAGGAAUACCAAAAAGAAAUGGAGAGAACAUUCCACAAUAUUCGUGAUAAGUUGUAUCCAUUGAUAUGUUCCUCAACAGUCACACUGAAACGAGCCAAACAUAAGAGGCCCUGAUUGAAUAACCCUUUCUAUUUUACUGAUAAUAAUCCUAUCAACUAAUAUUUUUUAAAGACAGAGCUCGACGAAUACAUUCUCCAAACAGUUCCCUUGUGUGAAAUACAAAAGAUAAGCCCAACCAGACAGCUACUGACAGUCAUCCUUGUUCUGCCUUUUAUUGUUGUUGUUGUUAAAGAAAAAAAACCAGCGGGGUGGGGUAGUCACUAAGGUUGUUCUUACUGCUACCAUGCUCCCUCCUACGGCUAUUGUUGCAAUUUUUUCCACUUGCCAACCUCCACAGACUUUUUACCACAUAGUGAGUGUGUGUAUGUGUAUAUAUAUAUAUGUAUAAAACUAUCAGCUAUUGUUGCAUUUUCCUCACCCAACCUCCCAGCAUCCCAUGAAUAUAUUUUUACCAUAUACAUACAUGGAUGUGUGUAUAUAUGUGUGUGUAUGCAUUUAUAUAUGCACAUGCAUACAGACUAUCAACUAUUGUUGCAUUUCCUCUUUCCAAUAACCAGUGAUUUCUCUUUACCCUGUAUGUAUAUGUGUGUAUAUAUAUAUAUAUAUAUAUAUAUAUAUAUAUAUAUAUAUAUACAUACAUAUAUAUAACAUUGUAUUCACUUUUAUAUAGACACACAUACACAUUCAUGGGAUCACACAUUUAUAUACACAUAAAUGACAAAAUAUACCGACUAUCAGUUCCUGGUGCGUUUUUCAUCUGAUAACAUUCAGUGACUUAUUACACAUACACACACACACAGACACAUGCACACUUAACCUAAGAAAGAUGGAACAAGGAACACACACACACACACACACACUCACUCACACACCCCAACAACCUUUGAAUAUGUAUAGUUUUAUUAUGUCCAUGUCUAGUCUAUCUUCCUCCUCAGUAUUUAAUAGGUAAAACACACUAAAUAUCUCCAUAUUUACACAUCAAAUCAAUAAAACUACAGAUCAAUACCUAUUGCUUUCUGACAAUAUAUUUUCAACAUUAUUUAUUUUCUUGUCCACAUUUUUUUUUCUUUCUUUUUGUGUGUGUGUUCUAUUUUAUUUUUUAAAACUAAUUUUUCUAUAUAUUUUCUUCAUUUUGUUUACACUUCUUAUUUUUAUUUAUUAUUUUCUCAUUUCAUCCACUUUGUUUUUUUGUUUGUUUUUUUUGAUCAUUUGUUUGUUUCAUUGUUUGACCUUUAAGAAUGCAUUUAAACCAUUUUUGGUGAAUAUCUUGAAAUAUCUUUUAAAUGGAAUGAAAUAGGGAAACAUAUUUCAGUGACAAAAUUUCUCCAAAAGAAAGUGUCUAAAUAUUAAUUGAUAUCCAUCCAUAUUAUUAUUAUUAUUAUUACGGCAGCAAGCUGGCAGAAUCAUUAGCACACCGAACAAAAUGCUAAGCUGCAUUUUGUCCAAAUUUACAUUCUGAGCUCAAAUACUGCUGAUGUCAACUUUGCUUUGUAUCCUUUCAGGGUCAAUGAAAUAUGUACCAGUUGAGUACUGGGGUCAAUGUAAUUGACUUCCCCUCUCCUCAAAAUUACUGGUCUUGUGCCAAAAAUUAGAAUAACUAUUAUCAUCAUUAUUAAAUUUUAUCAAAAAUUUUAUUGUUAAAUUUCUUUAUUCUAUGUUAACUUUCCUUUUUAAAAAAAAGAAAAAGUACUCUAGCCUUUAGCAAGGAAUACAUUUUGAUAUUUAAAAACAAAAUGACUGACCCUGUGACAUAGAAUUAGAAAGUGAGUACUUGUUAAGACUUUUAGUUGUUCACUUUCAUUAUUUCAAUGAACUCUGUGGGUCAUUUGAGCUUAAUUUCAUAAUAUAAACAUAUAUAUGCAUUAUUAUUAUUAUUAUUUUUAUUAUUCAACAAAUUCUGCUGAGAUUGACUUUGCCUUUCAUCCUUUCAGGGGUCAAUAAAAUAAGUACCAGUUGAGCUCUGGCAUCAAUGUAAUUGACCAGCCACCUCCUUGCCACAUUUCAGGACUUGUGCCUAUUGUGGAAAGGAUUAUUAUUAUUAUUAUUAUUAUUAAAGCACAUUGGAAGAAAUGCUUUGCAGUAUUUCAUUUUGACUGGCUACGUUCUAAGUUCAAAUUCCAAUGAAGUCAGCUUUGCCUUUCAGGUUUUCAAUGUCAAUAAAAUAAAGUCUCAGUCAAGUACUGGAGUUAGUGGUAUCAACUAACUCCUUCCCCUUUAAAAUUACUGGCCUUCUGCCAAAAUUUGAAACCAUUAUUAUUAUUAUUAUUAUUAUUAUUAUUAUGAGUGGCAGAAUCAGUAAGUCAUGGGUAAAGUGUUUAUUUAUCUCUCCUCACAUUUUAUAUUUAAAUCUUGUCAAGGCCAAUUUUGUCUUUCAUUCUUCCACAAUCAAUAAAAUAAAAUACCAGCUGAGUCCUGGAAUCAAUCUGAUUGAUUAUUCAUCUUCUACACCCACACAAAAUUAUUGCUUUGUACCUAAGAUAGUAAAAUAUCAUUAUGAUUAUUUUUAUUAUUAUUUUCAAUUCCCUAAUUAAAAAAAAGAGAAAACUAAACUAAA